rnacentral:rRNA from 1 species
GUGGGGAAUAUUGGACAAUGGGCGCAAGCCUGAUCCAGCCAUGCCGCGUGUGUGAAGAAGGCCUUUUGGUUGUAAAGCACUUUAAGCGAGGAGGAGGCUACCCUGACUAAUAAUUAGGAGUAGCGGACGUUACUCGCAGAAUAAGCACCGGCUAACUCUGUGCCAGCAGCCGCGGUAAUACAGAGGGUGCGAGCGUUAAUCGGAAUUACUGGGCGUAAAGCGCGCGUAGGCGGUUUAUUAAGUCGGAUGUGAAAUCCCUGAGCUUAACUUAGGAAUUGCAUUCGAUACUGGUAAGCUAGAGUAUGGGAGAGGAAGGUAGAAUUCCAGGUGUAGCGGUGAAAUGCGUAGAGAUCUGGAGGAAUACCGAUGGCGAAGGCAGCCUUCUGGCCUAAUACUGACGCUGAGGUGCGAAAGCAUGGGGAGCAAACAGGAUUAGAAACCCGAGUAGUCC